GUCAGGAGUUGAUGGAUUUGAGUUUGAGUCAGGAGUCGACGGAUUAGGGUUUGAGUCAGGAGUCGACGGAUUUGAGUUUGAGUCAGGAGUCGAUGGAUUUGAGUCUUAGGAUUUGAGUCACAGGUUUGAGUCACAGGACUGAGUCAGGAGAUGCAUAGAAAGUUACUUAAAUUUGAAUUAAUUGGCACUUUAGAAAACGUACUGUUAGUUUGUGUCGUGUGUCAUGAUUCACAUCUUUGAAUCUCGUCAACGAAUUUGAAUCAUCAUAAAUUUGUCAGAAAAUUAAUUCCUAACAUUAGCUCUGUUAUAAUUAACACGUCUGUCUGCUGUGUUAAGUGACACGUCUCUCACAAAGGAGUCAUUGUAAUUAAUUUGAACACGUGUGAGUGUGAGGCGCUUUGUGUAACACUUCCUGUUUCCUCUCUGCUUUACACCUCAACAAAAUGUCAGUGGUGUUCAGUGUACACACACACGCACACACACACACGCACAGAGGUGUGUUGAUUGUGUUCAGUACGCCGAUACCCGUGUUGGUUGACCGUUAGAGACGUCUUCCUCUUUUUCUCUUCUCUUCCUCUCUUCUGUGAACGUUAAGCCACAGACGUCUCAGCUCACGCCACGUCUCACGUCAUGUCUCACGCCACGUCUCACGUCAGGUCUCACGUCACGUCUCACACCAGGACACGUUUAUGGAACAGAUUCCUGCAAACAAACAGAUAUAUUCUUAACACCCUCUGGUGCUUAAAUACACUGUGGUCAAACACACGGCCCUGUUUUGUCCAGGUUUAAGUGUUUGUGGGGUUUAAAGUUUACACCUUUUACAGUUUAUGGAUUGCAGAUUUUGUCCUUGGGUUUCAGGUGUUGACAGUUUUGGUGUUUACAGAUUGUUGUUUUGUGUUUACAGGUUUGUAGAGUUUUUUGGGUUUGUGUGUUUAUUUGUAGACAGUUUGAGAUUUUCCCACUUUUCUCUUUUGUUAUUUGGGGUUUAAUUUGUUUGAAGAGUUGAUGUGAAGGUGUUUAUAAGGUUACAGUGUUCAGGUGUUUAAGGUGUUUAUAGGGUUACAGUGUUUAUAGGGUUACAGUGUUUAGGUGUUUAAGGUGUUUAUAGGGCUACAGUGUUCAGGGGGUUUAAUGUGUUAUGAUGUGAAGGUGUUUAUAGGGUUACGGUGUUUAUAGGGUUACAGUGUUUAGGUGUUUAAGGUGUUUAUAGGGUUACAGUGUUUAGGUGUUUAAGGUGUUUAUAGGGCUACAGUGUUCAGGGGGUUUAAUGUGUUAUGAUGUGAAGGUGUUUAUAAGGUUAAGGUGUUUAUAGGGUUACAGUGUUUAGGUGUUUAAGGUGUUUAUAGGGCUACAGUGUUCAGGGGGUUUAAUGUGUCACUAAAAUGAAAUGUAGAUCCAGUGUUAGUGCUUUUCUCAGUGGCUGUUGAUUCCUUCCAGUGUUCAGUGCAGAUCAGUGUCUGUUUCUGUCUGACUCUGUUUCCUGACUCUGACUCUGUCUCUGUCAGUGU